UUGGCUUAGUUAGUCCAUCCAAGAUUGAAGAAAGAGCCUCAAUUUCCCAAAAGAGAAUUAGUUGUUCUCUUCCUCUCCCACAAUCAGAAAACUCCAAAAUUUUCUUCUUUUUCUUCUUCCUCCCUCAAACAACCGUGGAGUCUCUCUCUCGCUAGAACAGCGCCACCUCCACUCCUCUGUCGUUAAAAUUUUCACCGCCCACUCACCGUGAGACCACCGCCGCUGCUGCCUCUUUGCCGAUCACAGCACGGCCGUCGUCGGUGUACAACAGCCGCACCUCUCGAGCCUACGCAGCGCCGUCACGCCGUCUCACAGUAUGAGCUGCUGCCGGUGACCGCGACCUGCUACUGCCAGCGCCACCGUCUUGUCAGAAUGCAGCGCUGCUACUGUCAGCCUGUCAGGGUGCAGUUGCCGUCGUCUCCGGCUGCCUCCGGAGUAGCCAGCAGCCCAGUUCUCCGCCUCAGCUGCGCGGAAGUCCGCCGCUGUGUCGAGGUCAGUCACGAAUUGCUGCUCAUUUAAUCCGGAAUUGAUGGAGGAAUAAAAGCAGGUUAAAUUCUGCAAAGUAACGGAUGAAGUGUAGGAGCACAUUUGUUAAGAAGGAGAAUAAAUCUGUUGGACAUUUUGGGUUCAAAGAAGAAUUUUGUGAUUGGGCUUACAAAA